CCAGACUCCUACGGGAGGCAGCAGUGGGGAAUAUUGGUCAAUGGGCGAGAGCCUGAACCAGCCAAGUCGCGUGAGGGAAGACGGUCCUAUGGAUUGUAAACCUCUUUUGCCGGGGAGCAAAAAGCGGUACGUGUACCGCAUCGAGAGUACCCGGAGAAAAAGCAUCGGCUAACUCCGUGCCAGCAGCCGCGGUAAUACGGAGGAUGCGAGCGUUAUCCGGAUUUAUUGGGUUUAAAGGGUGCGCAGGCGGGGAGUUAGGUCAGCGGAAAAAUUUGGGGCCCAAACCCCGCCGAGCCGUUGAAACUGCAUCCCUUGAGUGCGCGAGAAGUAUGCGGAAUGCGUGGUGUAGCGGUGAAAUGCAUAGAUAUCACGCAGAACUCCGAUUGCGAAGGCAGCAUACCGGCGCGCAACUGACGCUCAUGCACGAAAGCGUGGGUAUCGAACAGGAUUAGAUACCCGCGUA
rnacentral:rRNA from 1 species